rnacentral:rRNA from 1 species
CUACGGGACGCACCAGUGGGGGAUAUUGCACAAUGGGCGAAAGCCUGAUGCAGCAACGCCGCGUGAAGGGUGACGGAUUUCGGUCUGUAAACUUCUAUCAGCAGGGAAGAAAAUGACGGUACCUGACUAAGAAGCCCCGGCUAACUACGUGCCAGCAGCCGCGGUAAUACGUAGGGGGCAAGCGUUAUCCGGAAUUACUGGGUGUAAAGGGUACGUAGGCGGCUGAUCAAGUCAGAUGUGAAAGCCCGGAGCUCAACUCCGGGAUUGCAUUUGAAACUGGUCGGCUAGAGUGCAGGAGAGGAAAGUGGAAUUCCUAGUGUAGCGGUGAAAUGCGUAGAUAUUAGGAAGAACACCAGUGGCGAAGGCGGCUUUCUGGACUGUAACUGACGCUGAGGUACGAAAGCGUGGGGAGCGAACAGGAUUAGAUACCCUGGUAGUC